UUUUAUGAGAGUUUGAUCCUGGCUCAGGACGAACGCUGGCGGCGUGCCUAAUACAUGCAAGUCGAACGCCUUUUCUUUCACCGGAGCUUGCUCCACCGAAAGAAAAGGAGUGGCGAACGGGUGAGUAACACGUGGGUAACCUGCCCAUCAGAAGGGGAUAACACUUGGAAACAGGUGCUAAUACCGUAUAACAAUAGAAACCGCAUGGUUUCUAUUUGAAAGGCGCUUUUGCGUCACUGGUGGAUGGACCCGCGGUGCAUUAGCUAGUUGGUGAGGUAACGGCUCACCAAGGCAACGAUGCAUAGCCGACCUGAGAGGGUGAUCGGCCACAUUGGGACUGAGACACGGCCCAAACUCCUACGGGAGGCAGCAGUAGGGAAUCUUCGGCAAUGGACGAAAGUCUGACCGAGCAACGCCGCGUGAGUGAAGAAGGUUUUCGGAUCGUAAAACUCUGUUGUUAGAGAAGAACAAGGAUGAGAGUAGAAUGUUCAUCCCUUGACGGUAUCUAACCAGAAAGCCACGGCUAACUACGUGCCAGCAGCCGCGGUAAUACGUAGGUGGCAAGCGUUGUCCGGAUUUAUUGGGCGUAAAGCGAGCGCAGGCGGUUUCUUAAGUCUGAU
rnacentral:rRNA from 1 species